UACAGAGGGUGCGAGCGUUAAUCGGAAUUACUGGGCGUAAAGCGCGCGUAGGCGGUUUGUUAAGUCGGAUGUGAAAUCCCUGGGCUCAACCUAGGCAUUGCAUACGAUACUGACUGACUAGAGUAUGGGAGAGGAAGGUAGAAUUCCAGGUGUAGCGGUGAAAUGCGUAGAGAUCUGGAGGAAUACCGAUGGCGAAGGCAGCCUUCUGGCCUAAUACUGACGCUGAGGUGCGAAAGCAUGGGGAGCAAACAGG
rnacentral:rRNA from 1 species